rnacentral:rRNA from 1 species
UUGGAGGGCAAGUCUGGUGCCAGCAGCCGCGGUAAUUCCAGCUCCAAUAGCGUAUAUUAAAGUUGUUGCAGUUAAAAAGCUCGUAGUUGAAUUUCGAGACCGGUUUACUGGUCGUGCUUUUGUACGUACUGGUAUUAUUGGUUUCUCCUUUCUGACGAAUCUUAAUGCCAUUAAUUUGGUGUUUUGGGGAAUCAGGACUGUUACUUUGAGAAAAUUAGAGUGUUUAAAGCAGGCUCACGCUUGAAUACAUUAGCAUGGAAUAACGGAAUAGGACGUUUGAUUCUAUUUUGUUGGUUUCUAGGAUCGACGUAAUGAUUAAUAGGGAUAGUUGGGGGCAUUAGUAUUCAAUUGUCAGAGGUGAAAUUCUUGGAUUUAUUGAAGACUAACUACUGCGAAAGCAUUUGCCAAGGAUGUUUUCAUUAAUCAAGAACGAAAGUUAGGGGAUCGAAGACGAUCAGAUACCGUCGUAGUCUUAACCAUAAACUAUGCCGACUAGGGAUCGGAUGAUGUUAAUUUUUUAAUGACUCAUUCGGCGCCUUACGGGAAAC